GGCAGCAUGGUGUAGUGGUUUGAGCACUGGACUGUAAUGCCAGGUGACCAGGGUUCCAAUCCCAGCUCAGCUA